AGCAGUCGCCACGGUAAUACGAAGGGUGCAAGCGUUAAUCGGAAUUACUGGGCGUAAAGCGUGCGUAGGUGGUGGUUUAAGUCCGUUGUGAAAGCCCUGGGCUCAACCUGGGAAUUGCAGUGGAUACUGGGUCACUAGAGUGUGGUAGAGGAUAGUGGAAUUUCCGGUGUAGCAGUGAAAUGCGUAGAGAUCGGAAGGAACAUCUGUGGCGAAGGCGACUAUCUGGGCCAACACUGACACUGAGGCACGAAAGCGUGGGGAGCAAACAGGAUUAGAUACCCGCGUAGUCCCUGUCUCUUAUAC
rnacentral:rRNA from 1 species